rnacentral:lncRNA from 1 species
AGAACAGGAUUUCUGAGCAUGCAGUCAUAACUCUAGGUCAUUCAUUAAUUUCAGGCCCUGCUAGCAGAUACCAAGGAUGACAGUGAAAACAGUCACACGGAAGAAGGAGGGAGGGAGGACCGUGCACUACAAAGAACUCUUUUACACCGAGUUGAGAAAUCAUCGGGUUGUUAGAAUUGGACAGAACAUUUAACUCCCAUUCCUUUAUCAUCUAAAAUCUGAUAUCAUGUCAUUUGGUUCACUUCCUACAAAUAAUUACCUUUUGGCUACAUCAAGGUUAUAAUGAUAAGUUAUCAUUUCGGAGCCCAGACUACAGCCCUCGAACCAAGCUAAGUGACUUAAGUGUGCCAUCUCAUUUAACCCCCACAAAGAUUAUACUUGGCCAGGCUGAUAUCACUUAUUUCAUUUCACAGAUGAGGAUAUUGAUCUCAUGGUCACAAAGCUAGUAAACGGCCGAGAAUCACGCCUCGGUCUGUCCAGCUUCAAAACCUGGAUCCAUCACCAUGACACGCUGCUGAAUGAGGCCCGGGUUCGAGAGUAUCACACUUUAAAAAUAUCAUGAUGCAGAUGAGGAUGUGGUACAGUGAUGACUACCAUGUACACAGUACAUUCUAGACACACACUGUCCCCAAGUGCUUCUCUGCAUCUUCACUUAGUCCCCACUGCAACCCCAUGAGGCCAGCACUGUGACUGGAGGAUGCUGAGAGCAGUGAGGUGAAAUAAGCUGCCCGGCGUCACACAGCUGGGAACUGGCAGAAUUGGGAUUCCAGCUCAGGGAAGCGCCCAUGCUCUUAACUCUUAGGCUACACUGCCUGGCUCUUGGGUGGGGGAUCACUGCAGACAGAGUUAAGCUUUGGUGUGUGGGGGGCGGGGGAGGCAGGGGGAGGGGCAGGUGCUUCAAAGAUGGAAGGGAACACAGAGAAGGGACUUUGCCAACUAAUAUUAGCACAAGUCACAUACUGAGACGAAGGUUUUAAAGAGGAUUUUUUUCCCCCGCUAUUUGAGUUCAUGAGAAGAGUUUGUUACCUAUUGAACAAAUAGUCUUCACUAAUAAAGAACAAUGUGACAAGAAGUCAGCACUGUUCUUAGAUAACUGGGGACACAGGGAGGGCACUCCAGUGUUCCCAUGGAAGGAAUGAAUUCGGGCACAGUCCGUCCCGUGCAACUCCCCUAGGGAGAGAAGGGGCAACUGGAUUCCUCUCGACAAACUAGAAACUUUGUGACAAUGACAAGCUGUUCCCACCCCGGCCCUCCCCUAGGAUGCUGGAGAGCCCAGAGAGGGAAGAGAAGAAACCCAGCGUUGGUGCGGUGCCCACCGCGGACUCGACUUCAUUCCACCUUCACGCUGAGAGGUGACACCGUCGUUCCCACAGUGAGACCUGGCGCUCGGGUGCCCCAGGGGGGGUUGCCCAAGGUCACAGAACAGCAAGCAGCAGGCCAAGAUACCUAGAGAGAGUUCGCGGGGCCGGAGGCUCCCUGCUGUCUCCUGCAAGUGCGUGGGGGUGGGGUCUGAUUUCCACCCGUGUUGGACGUCAGCGGCCUCCGACGCUUUUUGGAAGCAGACUUUUCAGGAACACCUGCUGUGUGGCCGGCACUGUAGUAGGUGCCAGGGAUACAAAGAAGAAACUUUCAGGGCUCUUAGGAAGACAGGAAAACAAGUCAAUCAGCAAUGGUCCUAGCGUGACUUUUCAGGAACACCUGCUGUAAGCCUGGCACUGUGGUAGGUGCCAGGGAUAUAAAGAAGAAAAUUUCAGGGGUUUUAGGAAGACAGCCAAACAAGUCAAUCAGCCAUGACCCUAUCAUGAUGAGGAAACUGAGGUUCUGAAUGAUUAGAUGACUCACCCGAUAUCACACAGCUGGUAAGCACGUGAACCAGGAUGAGAAACCCAGGCUAUCUAUGCCAGUGCCCAGUUAACCAGUUCACCAGAACACCAGAAGCCGCCCCCAGGGCUGCAAGCUGACCAUGCCUGGGACACAGGAGGUUGCAGUGGUGAAGAUCAACAGGCGGGGCGAGGAGCAUCUCCGUCUCCCUCUGAAGACCAUUUGGAAGAGGGUGUGAGAGCUGCCGCCAGGCUUUCCCAGAGAACAGCUGGGCCUGGAAGGGGCGGUCCAGGUCCCAUAAUAACUGCUACCUGCUGCUGCAGCAAUUUUCCCUGCUGGGUGUUUCCAAGUCCGAGUCUCCUGGGGGAGGAGGCUGGGAGGAGGAGGAGGAGGAGGGCUGAUUCUCUAAACUCCCCCUGCUUCUCACCAAAGGUCUGUCCUUGGCCCAGCUUCCCUUCCGAAGGUUGAGUAAUCUCAAAAAAUUGCAGCCUGGCAUGAAAGAGCAGGCCUGCAGGCCAAGCCAGAUCACGUCCGCACGCGGGAUGCUUGGCCCACAUGCUCCUGUACACUUGUAACUGUUAAACCAGAGGACAAGAAGCAACAGAUGUCCUCAGAUCACCAAACCAGCAAAUGCGCAGAGCCAUGGUGGGCGUCUGGCCCCAGUGCUUGGGUGGCCCCUAACAUCAGAUUAAGGAAAAAAGACCUCUCCUCAGCUGGAACGUCCCACUUCCUCCUCCCUCCUCCUCACCAGUAUUUUUCUCUCUGCUUUGCCUGGAUUGGAGUCCUGACCUGGCUACUCCCAGCUGUGUGAACUGGGCCAGCAACUUAGCUCCGUUGUGCCUCAGUUUCUCCAUCUCUAAAUGAAGCGCUUAUUCCUCUCUCAUGGAGCCGUCGUGAGAAUUACGUGAAUGAAUACAGGCUGACUACUUUGAACAGUGCCUGGUACGUAAAGCCCUGUACACUGUAGCUUUUGCUGAUGGUGGUAGACACUCUGCUAUUUAGAGAGGUGUUCUUUCUCUCGAGGCUUUGAUUCCUGCUAAAACAGAAAUCAUUUGGAAAUGGACACUUUUUCUGCCAUUUAGAGAGGUAUUCUUUGUCUUGAGCCUUUGAUUCCUGUUAAAAUAGAAAUGAUUCAAAAAUGAA